CCUACGGGGGGCUGCAGUGGGGAAUAUUGGACAAUGGGCGAAAGCCUGAUCCAGCCAUGCCGCGUGUGUGAAGAAGGCCUUCGGGUUGUAAAGCACUUUAAGUGGGGAAGAAAGCCUUGGGGCUAAUACCCUCGAGGAAGGACAUCACCCACAGAAGAAGCACCGGCUAACUCCGUGCCAGCAGCCGCGGUAAUACGGAGGGUGCGAGCGUUAAUCGGAAUUACUGGGCGUAAAGCGCGCGUAGGCGGUCUGAUAAGCCGGUUGUGAAAGCCCCGGGCUCAACCUGGGAACGGCAUCCGGAACUGUCAGGCUAGAGUGCAGGAGAGGAAGGUAGAAUUCCCGGUGUAGCGGUGAAAUGCGUAGAGAUCGGGAGGAAUACCAGUGGCGAAGGCGACCUUCUGGACUGACACUGACGCUGAGGUGCGAAAGCGUGGGUAGCAAACAGGAUUAGAUACCCGUGUAGUC
rnacentral:rRNA from 1 species